CUACGAUGGUUGUAACGGGUACGGGGAAUUAGGGUUCGAUUCCGGAGAGGCGGCCUGAGAAACGGCCGCCACUUCCAAGGAAGGCAGCAGGCGCGUAAAUUAUCCAAUCCCAAUUCGGGGAGAUAGUGACAAGAAAUACUGAUGUAGGGGCUUCUGGUCCUUACUAUUGGAAUGAGAGCAAUGUAAAAACCUCAUCGAGGAACUAUUGGAGGGCAAGUCUGGUGCCAGCAGCCGCGGUAAUUCCAGCUCCAAGAGUGUAUAUUAAAGUUGUUGCGGUUAAAAAGCUCGUAGUUGACUUUAGGACUUGAGUACAUCGGUACUUCGUAGCUGUAAAAGGUUGCGGGGAAUUAAUGCCGGGUAAUUAUCUUGUCCUAUUCUGGGAGACAUUAAAACACGGUAGAAAAUACUGUGGUUUCUUAGGAUUUACUUUGAAUGAAUUAGAGUGUUUAAAGCAGACGAAAUCCGUCUUGAAUAAUUUAGCAUGGGAUAAUGAAAUAUGACCAUUUGCUCACGAUUCGUUGGUUUCUAGAGCAUUGGUAAUGACUAAUAGGGAUGGUCGGGGUCGUCCAUAUUCUGCGGUCAGAGGUGAAAUUCUAAGACCCGCAGAGGAUGAACAAAUGCGAAGGCAUUCGACAAGGACGUCUUCAUUAAUCAAGAACGAAAGUUAAGGGAUCGAAGAUGAUCAGAUACCGUCGUAGUCUUAACUGUAAACUAUGCAGACUCAGGAUCGGAGGAUGUUAUAUGGAUGACUCUUCUGGCACUGUGAGCGAAAGCAUAAGUAUUCGUGCUCCGGGGGGAGUAUGGUCGCAAGGCUGAAACUUAAAGGAAUUGACGGAAGGACACCACCAGGUGUGGAAUCUGCGGCUUAAUUUGACCCAACACGGGAAAACUCACCUGGUCCGGACACAGUGAGGAUUGACAGAUUGAUAGCUCUUUCUUGAUUUUGUGGAAGCCGGUGCAUGGCCGUUUUUAGUUGGUGGAGUGAUUUGUCUGCUUAAGUGCGAUAACGAACGAGACCUCGAUCUAUUAAAUAGGGGCGUGAACAGGGGAGUUCUCAUAGGAUAUCUAGGCCUAGCUUGGGUGUUCAUUAGAGCUAGUCUGGGGAAGCUCGAGGCAAAAACAGGUCUGUGAUGCCGCUCGAUGUCCAGGGCUGCACGCGCAUUACACUGAAGUGUGCAACAAGUAGAAGUAAAAAAUGUCCUAGCGCGUUGGCGUGUAGGAAAUCUUAGAAAGCAUUUCGUGAUAGGGAUUGUGUAUUGAAACUAUUACACAUGAACGAGGAAUACCUAGUAAGGGUGAGUCAUCAACUUGCCCUGAUUACGUCCCUGUCCUUUGUACACACCGCCCGUCGCUUCUACCGAUUGGAUAACUCGAUGAGGACUCGGGACGAGGAGGAUUUCGCUAGGCCGAAAGGUUUUGGUGAGCUUCUUUGAAACCUGUUCGAAUCUCGUUGUUUAGAGGAAGAAGAAGUCGUA
rnacentral:rRNA from 1 species